UACGUAGGCAGCAAGCGUUGUUCGGAGUUACUGGGCGUAAAGGGUGUGUAGGCGGUUCCUUAAGUUUGCUGUGAAAUCUCCCGGCUUAACCGGGAGGGUGCGGUGAAUACUGAGGGACUAGAGUACGGGAGAGGAAAGUGGAAUUCCUGGUGUAGCGGUGAAAUGCGUAGAUAUCGGGAAGAACACCCGUGGCGAAGGCGGCACUCUGGGACGGUACUGACGCUGAGACGCGAAAGCGUGGGGAGCGAACAGG
rnacentral:rRNA from 1 species